rnacentral:rRNA from 1 species
CCGUGAUGAACUAACCGUCUGUCGCUGGGGAGGAGUUCCGAUAGGGCCAAAUCCCACAAAACUACCUCCAAAUUUUUAUCUCUUCCUUUAUAAUUUAAAAAGAAGAAAAAAAAUUAGGGUGAAUAACUAAAUAUCACUAUAGAUUUUAUUAACAUUUAUUUUUUUACUUAAUUUGAAAUACAAUAAAAAAAAGAACAAAAUAAAACUCAAUAUGAACCUAGUGACCAGGUAAACGAGUUAACUGGGGCUACUGCUUUUUUUAUAUUAAAAACAUAAAUUUAAACAGUUUCGCGAUUAUUAUUUUUAUAGUGUUUGUUAUACUUAUCUAGUUUAAUCGCUUUAUAAGCAUUUUAAACUUUUUAUUAGACUAUUAACAGUUUAGUUAAGGAUUAGUAGUUUCGAUGAACCCUUCUGAGUAACUAAUCUUAAAAGUCAUAGCAAGGUAGCUUGUACUGGAA